CAAACACAUGAGUAUAUGAGGCCAUGCCUAUUCAAACUACCAUAAUAGCUUAACCUCUUUGGAUCACAGUCAUCUCCUAUACAUCUGAAAUGCUUCUACCUAUCAUAGGAGACACACAUGUACUGAGUGAUGUGUAUGAAGUCCCUGGCCAUCAGACCAUGCCUACAGUACUGCUUGUGGGUAAGGGUGUCUAAAAGCCACACAGCCUCCAUCUUUAUUGCCACACUCAUGCACUCUGAAAGGAUGUCUAGCUUCACAGUGCUCAGGACCAUAUUUUCAGGGAAGACAGUCUCUACAACUCUAAUGGAAAAUUGAGGAGAAUCAAGAUGAAUUCCUCAGAACUGGGACUACAUGAGGAAGUAUGGAAGAUUGACCUCAGAGACCUGUCUCCUCCAGUGCAGAGGGACUUGCAGCAGUAGGUGACACAGAAAAGAAGCAAGAAAAAGGCUUGUCAGCUUUAUGAACAUGAAGUCUUUCACAAAGACAGAGAACUGGAAUUGAGGUUAUAUUAGAUUCUGUCCUACAAGAUUGCAGAAACAACAAACAAAACCAGCUGGUUAUGGUAAUAUGCACCAGUAAUUUCAAUACUCAGUCAUGGAGGUAGGAGGAUCAGGAUUUCAAGGCUAUCUUCGACCACUUGGCAGGUUCAAGGUCAACCUGAACCACCAGAAAUACUGUCAGAAAAUGACAAUAUGAAACUUGAGUACAAGGAAGUUGUAAAUAUACCACCACAGGAUGUCAAAGGAUUGAGGGGCUUAGGGCAGCCAUGUGCUACUUGAAGGAUGGACUCUGCCCCAGAAGCAACAUGUAAAUGCCACUGAUCUAAGCCAGUUGAGAUAUGUGCCAAUGGAAGAAGAGCUUUUCAUGGAGGUCUAGCUCUAACAGCUCUCCAGCCAUCCGCUAAGGAGUGCCAGUUCUAGAUUUGUCUACCACUGUGAAGAACUCAAGGAAAUAUUCACAGGUUGGGACAUAGCAUGGUGCACUGAAGAUACUUUGGCGACAUAAAAACAUGUCUCUGCUCUGCUACCCUAUGCAUGGCUUCUAAGAAGUUCAGUAAACUAUCAGAUAGCCCAGCGAGCUGCAUCCCAGGUCCUGUCAGCGCUCCUGACUCCAGGUUAAGACUUUUGGUCCUGUCUUCUUCUCGGAGAACUGAGCACAUGGCCUCACGAAGGAAAGAAACAUCCAGCCUUUUGGAUUAGAAUGAUCAUAUGUAUUCACCUCUGAAAAACGUCCAAGACUCACUCCA